UGAUAGCAGCAGCUCUCACAGGCUGGGUGUCUGUACUUAACUAGCAAUAAUUACUGCUUUGUGCUGUCUUAGCCAUCCCUCAAUAGCAAUGGUUUAUUUUCUUGCAUGAAAUCUCACCAGGCUUUUAAAUUGCUUGCAGGAGAAAAGCAUUUCAGUGGCCCGGAGCAUCGUGUGACCGUUCUGCAAAGGGAAGGAGCCUUUACCAUCCAUACUGCACCGAGGAGAGGCUCCCACAGGUGCCCUGCGGUCACAGGGUGAGGGUGGGAGCGCUGGGUGCUCCGUGUCCCAAGGAGCCAGCCCCGUGCAGGCAAAAAAUGGUGCUAAAUCCCAGCGAGAGAAACCUGCCGUGCCAAAAGGGAUGUUUGCACAAGAUACCGCAAGUGCCAGGAGGAGGGCGGCCAAACUGCUUUCAGGUCAGGACAGCAGCGGACGCAUGUUCGUGCUCUCCUAGCUUGCACAGCCCCCUCGCUGCGACGCUGUGAUGGAGGGGCUCGUGGCAGGGGGAAAAGCAGUGGCCCCUUGUCUGGUGGAGGAGGAAUAAGAUGAGGGAUCUGCAGGCAACCAGCAAGUUUUCAAGCCCCGUGGAGCAUCUUUGGUCAGUGUGGAGGGGACCGAAGGCCAUCGCCAUCCAGCCACCUCAAACGUGCAGCCGCCACUCUGAGUUGCCUGUUUGCCCUGUGCCGCUCCAUCACCUUGCAGGGGUUUACAGGGAGCUGAUCCAACUGGCCAGCAGGUUUUCUUUUUUUUUUCUUUUUUUCCCUUCGCUGAUGAAAUCAGCACUUAAUAAAAUCACAUCAGGCCCAGA